rnacentral:rRNA from 1 species
AUUGAACGCUGGCGGCAGGCCUAACACAUGCAAGUCGAACGAGUGGCGGACGGGUGAGUAAUGUCUGGGAAACUGCCUGAUGGAGGGGGAUAACUACUGGAAACGGUAGCUAAUACCGCAUACCAUCAGAUGUGCCCAGAUGGGAUUAGCUUGUUGGUGGGGUAAAGGCUCACCAAGUCGACGAUCCCUAGCUGGUCUGAGAGGAUGACCAGCCACACUGGAACUGAGGAACGGUCCAGACUCCUACGGGAGGCAGCAGUGGGGAAUAGUGCACAAUGGGCGCAAGCCUGAUGCAGCACUGCCGCGUGUAUGAAGAAGGCUUUCGGGUUGUAAAGUAUUUUCAGCGUGGGGUCGUUACCCGCAGAAGAAGCACCGGCUAACUCCGUGCCAGCAGCCGCGGUAAUUC